UGUGUUAACUGGGCAAACAAAAAGACC
rnacentral:piRNA from 1 species